AUAAUGCAAUUAAUGCAAUCAUGGAAUAUAUGAAUUCCAUGAAUAUAGCAUUAUCACUUCUUAAAACCUCAACUGCUAUAGUAGUCUCUAGUUGUUAAGCCUUGAAAAAUGCACAGGUGCUGUGACUAACGUCGAUUCAGGAUGCACAUCGGCGUGGGGUGAGGAGAGGAGGAGGUUAGGCCAAGACAUAGGGAGCAGGAGUCAGGGCCCGACAAGGACAGAGGGAAGAACAGAAUUAACCUUCCCUCACCUGUCCGGUGGAGUCCCAAUGAAAUCUCACUUCAUUUUCACCCCGCUUUCAUUUUAGCAAAUGUUUGGCAAAUGGGGGAGGGGCGCACAGUGGUAAUACUUUCCUCCUUAUUAGUUACACACAAAAGCUGCAUCCAGAGAUCUCACACAAAAUUGAAUAUUUACAGCAAAUAAGAAUCAAAUAACACUAUUUGUCAUGAUGUGCUGUAUACAUGCUUAAAUUAGAAUAUGAUGAAUUAAUUGUGGCAAUUUCUAGACACAAGAGCUUCAUCCUUUGAUUACAAACCUGAUUGUGUUCAUAUUUAACAAAUUUAGUUCAGGCUCUCCAAUUUAAAUUGUUUCGGUUUUGACACAAAUGUGUUUUUCUUUGUGUCACCCUACUUUUACAAUAAAACAGGACAAACAUUACCUUGAAGAGGUAUUUCAGGAAAUGUACACACACACACACACACACACACACACACACACACACUCACACUCGGGUACAGAUGUCCGAAAAGCAUAAAUCACAUGCAUUCGCUUACACACCCACCUACACAUUUGCACCAAGUGCUGACAGAUUGCUCAUUCUACCAGGUCCAUGUUAAACCAUCCAUCCAUCCAUCCAUCUUCUAAAUGUUUAUCCUGGUCUGGGCUGAGGGUAUGUGUCAAAUCACCAAUCUUAAUCUGUCCCCCUAACUAAAAUAACUAAAAUAUACACAACAUCAUUUGCUGCUACAGAAAGUGAGCUAAACUGCAGAAUAAAUGGAUGUCCAGCUAUCCCUAAGAGAAUGCUUAGGCUCUGCUAGCUCCUUUCUCUCCAAAUAGCCUAUAUAUAGACCAGCUUCAUACCAAACAUUAUUUAUAAUUUGCUCCCAUCAACUGAUUCACAGGAGGCUGUCGUCUUAUUCAGCUUGAAGGAGAGAUGUGUUAAGUUCUGAAGUUGCUCUGGUAGCUUCCCUGUGCAAAACUCGUAACACGGUGCUUUGGGAAUGCAUGGUAUAUAGAUUUCACUUAAAAUACGGGCCGCUUCAAUUAAUUCCACUGCCGAGUGGAAUCUCAGUCAAUCUCAUAUGAGGAUACAUUAUUUAAAUGCUCUUCAGUUUCUCAGUAAUAGGAAAGAGAAGUGCUAAAGGUUAACAAUUAAUGUUUAAAAUGCCUGUCACACACACUUUAUUGCAAUUCUAAUUAUUUCAGUGCCAUUAGGAAUCGCACAGUUUCACAUGCACAUCCUCUCAGAAGCUGGGCAGUUCCUGCGAAAUAAGCACUGAUGCAGUUCUGCCCAUCUUCAGAGUCUCCGUGCCCAUAUUUAGGUGUCAAACAUUUUCAAAGGGAAAUGUCCAAACUGGAGGGUGAUGCCAGAAAAACUGAGAGACAGCUGGGAGGAACUGGAAAUGGUACAUUCACAGAGCGAGGUGUCCAUCUAGUAAAUCCUCUCUGAAUUUACAGGAGGAGCUGUUUGACCUUUACUCACACAUAUACUGCGAAAAUGAACAUGGGUGGGAAAACAGCCCAUCGGUGCCAUCAAGCUGCCUCAGAUUCUCAGAACUAAUAUCCCUAGUUGGCCCCCUGAGUCACAUUUCACCGUUUAAAAAAAAAUAAAAAUUAAAUCACAUUUUCUCCACAGACACGAGUUUACGUGUUAUUGUAUCUGUUUUUAUCUACGUGUCAUCUUUCCCAAAAGCUGACCUGGCCAGACGACAACCCACUGCUGUCAGACUUUACAGGGUUUAUCUAGGACAUCGAUCCAUGCGUCCAAAUCGCUCGAUCGAUAGGCGAACAUUCAUCUUCAGAACAAGGUUUAUGGCGUGUAAGGAGCUGCCUGAUUGGAACAAGAAAUACAACCACUGCCCCCCCCCCCUCACCCCCCCAUAGCAGAUUCCCAUGCAGGUCAGCCGUCGUGGCUCCACGUUCUGCUGAAUGGACAGAACACACAUUUCUCUCUCAUCCCCACAGAGACAUAUAGGACCUGUGUGUGACACAGAAAUGUUAUAAUCACUGUUGCAAUAAGCAUGUGCGAGAUCACAGUCCAGAGACGCAUGGACGGCUUAUGAAUUACGCCUUAGAUAAAACUGCUGAACUGCUGCUUCAAUAAUGUAUCACUUCCCUGACUUUUUUUUUUUUUUUUUUUUUUAAUAUCACCGGUGAGUACACAGCGCAGAUCCAUCUAGGGUUAUUGCCACACAGGCCAUCCUGACACAGUAUUUGUCAAUGCCGGCAUUUUGCAUCUAAGGUCAAAAGAAGACAGCAAGCUGAGGCAGAGAGCCGCAAACAAACCACCUACAGACCACUCCCUGCCGGACCCAACACACUUCUGGUGAGCGAGCUCACGGUCAGUCCGACAGAAGGAUGAGUCUACCUUUCCCUCCGCCCAGCAAAAGCAUAUGUUGCUGGAGGUCUCGAGUAUAUCCGAAAUGAAAGAAGAGAUUCCCAGACGCAUGGUGGCUGGACUGGAAGGGCAAUCGCGACUGAUGAGAAAGCUGGAGGAGAAAGAGGCGUGGACUCCUCGGCUGUCAGAGCGGAGUGCUUGGGCGGACCGAAGGGGCCCCGCUGUGGAUGCUGCUGACGCUGUUACCGCUGCUGCCGCUAGCGCCGCCGCCGCCGCUGCAGGACCAGCGCGAUGUGCCGUGCUUCUGGCGCACGCUGACUAAGACAACAGUGCUGUGUGCCGCCUGUCGCUAUAACUCCAUACAGUCUCCCCCAUGGUGCCCCAAAUUUCCUGUGCCAAAAAGGACAUCCACCAGGACAUCGGUGAUCCAACACACAAAGCAUGCUGCUGUCAAGCUGAUUUGAAGUUUCAAAUGCAAAAGAACUAUGUGGUCAUAUGCUGUGAACUGUUAAACCUGGAAAAAAAAGUCUCAUUCUAUAUUAACACCAACGCACGCACUGAAUGGUCUGUCCCGUACUGUUUUUCUUAUUUAUUAUUAUUGUAAUAUUGUAUAUGCAGGAACUGAAAUAUUGUGUAAUUAUACACUCACGACAAAAGAUAAAUUAUGUAAUAGUAAGUGCUACAUUAAUCUGAUGUCAGGAAUUCAAAAUGACAAAUUUGUUUUUUUUGUUCAGUUUAAACCAGUACAUAUACAUAUGCUGACACACACAGACACAAGCAGAUCCUCACCUACAGCAGUUGCCGUUUAAACAAAUCCAUGUCCAGUUCAUUACAUUUUUACAAGAAUAAACCCAGAAAAGCCAGCAAAUGAUGCAGCAACGAUGUAGGAAGGAGAUUUCGGGGG